rnacentral:rRNA from 1 species
CCUACGGGGGGCAGCAGUGAGGAAUAUUGGUCAAUGGACGCAAGUCUGAACCAGCCAUGCCGCGUGCCGGAUUCCUUCUCUAUGAGUUGUAAACUGCUUUUGUACGAUGGUCAACCCCGAUACGUGUAUCGGGUUGAAAGUAUCGUACGACUACGGCUCGGCUAACUCCGUGCCAGCAGCCGCGGUACUACGGAGGAUCCGAGCGUUCUCCGGAUUUAUUGGGUUUAAAGGGUGCGUAGGCGGUUUGAUAAGUUAGAGGUGAAAUGUCGGGGCUCAACCCCGAAACUGCCUCUAAUACUGUUGGU